GCCAGAUAUAUACUGAACCUUGCAUGCAUAAAGGACUUCCUCUGUCUGACGUGGUCAUUAUCCUUGACAAACUGUUGAAACCUUAGGAAAAUGGUCUAAAAAUAUUUGGAGGGAGAUUAAGUGGUUCAACAAGUAACGCUCUAAUGGAUGACAGAGAAUUUCCACCAAAUGACCUACAAAUAGACUCAAAGGACAGUCUUCCUGCUGACUAUAGGGUGGAAAGUUUGGCAUCUCAUUUGGUUUCUUCAGCUGAUGAAAAUGAAAAUCAACUUGACAAUGACGGGAAUGAGGUUCUGACCAGUAGUAGCAUUGCUAUGGGACGACAGGAUAAAGGUGACCAGGACAGCAUCAAUAAUAAUGAGAAUAUGGACAGUGGAGACUGUACCCCAAGCUGUAAGGAAAGUGAGACUGAGAGGAGAUCUGUAAAUGUCCAUAUGGACCCCCAGCAGGAGGAAAAGCCUAUUACAGAAAAACAACCAGGUGGAAAAAGAAGUCCAAGAAGCAAAAGAAGCUCCAGUAAAAGAUCUAAAGGAGUUCCUACAGUGGGAACCACAGCAAUCAAGGAGGAAAAUACUCUUAUUGCAGAUACAGAUUCUGUGCAUGCUGAAGGUGCUGUUGAAGCAAAUGAAAACUUUCACCAAAAAGAACAAAAACAAACGUUGCAGUCUCUUUUCUCUUUGCUCCGUGAAGAGGUUGAGCAGAUGGAUUCAAAGAUACUGCCCCUGUGUCUCCACCAGAUAGCUGAGACCUAUUUUCAAGAGGAGGAAUAUGAGAAGGCAGUGAAGUUCAUUCAGCUUGAACGACUGUAUCACGAGCAGCUGCUUGCAAAUCUUUCUUCCAUACAGGAGCAGUGGGAAAGAAAAUGGAAAACAGCAGUUCCUAGUCCAGUUACAACACUGAGGAAUUCAGCUAAAGAACUGAGCAGUGGAGAUCUGGAAAAGCUUACUAGAGUUUGCUCUUCGCAUCAACAGCCACAGGCAUCCAAAAAUAAGCUAGUAACUGCAGAAAAUACAUGGGAAAGCGGUUGUUUGCUUCAGUUAAUGGAAUCGAAAAAUUCAAAGGAAAAAGAAGCUGAUGCUUUUAAAUCAGGUACUGAAACUUGUCCUGGCGUUGGACCAAAGAAAGAAGAUAAACAGCUGAGCACUAGUUCUCCAGGUGAAAACAAAACUGAGAGACAGACAGAGGCAGCAAGCCUUUGGGUAGCUGCAGGGAAGGACCACAUGGAGGAGCAGCACUGCAGUGCUGAAUCAACAUUGGAGCCACACACCCAGUCCACAGGGACAGUGGGCAGGCCUUCUCCGGGCUGUUUAUCAUCUGGGGAUGCCGGUAAAGAUACCAGUUCGCAGCUGAGAGAAAGACAGCUCUCUAAGGAUGCGGAAAAAAUAGAAGGCACAGCUGGGGAGCCUGGAGUGAAACCCCCUCUUGAGCCAAUGGUAGAUGCUUUGGUUUUAACAGAUGCUGAUUAUAUGCCUACUGAUUUGGUUCCUACUGAUAAAGAUGUGCAAGCUGAUAGAAAUCUGCUCAGAUCAAAACAUGCUGCUGGCUCUUCAGAAAUUGCUAGUGGCCAGCUUGGAAAUAGUGAUUUAAAGCAGCAACAGAAACAGCCUGAUGAUGAAAAAUCUUCACGGGAUGGAACUGCAUCAAAUGUAUGCUCUGGGUGUAAUAAAGUGUCUGAGCAUGAGAGUACUGCCCAUUCACGAGUAUGCAAGGAAAUACAGAGAACAGCAGGACAGGAGGAGAAGGUAAAUAAUGAAGAACAAGAAGAUUUAUUUCUCAGAUUUUUAAAUGGUAACAUAAUAGACACUGAAGAAUCAUUUGCAAACUUGGCAAACGAAGAGGACUUUGACACUGUUCCAGAUAUUUUACCUGAACGAGCAUCUUACAACUCACUGGAAGCUUUGUCACUAGAUGACAGCUUUUCUUCUCUUGAUGAACUUGCAAGAAGGAUAGAGAUUGCUGAGAUUGCCCCAGCAGAAGGAUUGGUGUCUAUACUAAAGAAGAGACAUGACAGGGAAGGAAAAACAAUUGCUCAAGUCCAGCAAAGGCAAACAAAGAGAAGAGUGCGAUUCCAAGAAAUGGAAGACACGUUGGAUCAAGAUGAAGUAGCUGGUGGCUCCUGUAUUUUGCUGAUCCUGCUGUGCAUAGCAACUGUUUUCCUUAGCAUUGGAGGAACUGCAUUGUACUGCACCUUUGGUGACAUGGAAUCCCCUGUGUGUACUGAUUUUGCAGCCAACAUGGAUUUCUAUUAUACCCAGAUAUUGCAGCGUAUGGAAGAACUUAAACACUGGACAGCCUUCUCCUGGUUGAAAUGAGCGGAGACAGCACAUUGAGGGCUCACUAAUGGUUACUGGAGAGGGUAGAAAAAAAUUGUGAUUUCAAGUUCUCUAACACUUGCCGCCUGCAGGUGAUGUGUAUUUGAUGAUGUACUUACACUUUUACUUAGAAAUCAAGAAAAUUCUAGUUUAGCAAUCAGGUGGCAAAAUGUUCACAUCUUAAGCUGUAGCAGUGUGGCAUGGGAGAAUAAAAAGUUACUCUCUUCACCCUUCUGAGAGUAGGCAAGUAGCUUUUUGACAACUUAAGCAAGUGAAGAAGAAAGAAGAAAAUGAGUUGUCUUCUAUAUGCUCUCCCAUUGCCACACAUUGUGUGAGCAAUCUCUGGAAGCUUAGUAAAAGGACAGCUUUAAUUUACAGCUGUUUGUGCAAAGGUGUUGCCUCCAGCUAUCAUGCAAUAAGUCUGUGUUAUGGAAACAUUUUUUUUUUUUUCCCUAAGUCUUACUAUUUUUCUCCAUUUUAAUUCUCCUGGUGAGCCAUGUAAUUAUUUGGGUGGAGUGAGAAGAGUGCAGCGGCAUUAACGGAGCCCUCAUUUGGUGAUUAACAGGCUGACCCUGUAUCUUAUAGCUUACGUGCAAAGACUCACUAGUAUCAGCAGAGCUGCCUACAAGAAAAUCGUGAAGAGGUUGGGCACCACUUUACCAGCACAUACCCGAUGAAAAAUGAGCGGCCAGGCAUUCUGUGUAACUCGGCUACCUUACACUUGUGUUGUAACUUGGAGCACCUCUCCAGCCUUUCCAGCCUAUGCCAAGGUACCGCACCUGCAAAGUCUCUCAGGAUCUGAAGGAGCGGAAGGGGCACAUACGCACAGGCUGCCCGGCUCCUGAUCUGAGCUGUUCACUCCUCAGUUGCAACCAAGUGGUUGAAUCUGGAUCUAAUUUCUGUUGGCAUUCCUUUAUAAAAAGCUGAUGGUACUAAUUCUUGCUUCAUGUGACAAUUCUGUUAGUGCAAAUAGUUUGCAUGGUCUGUAGUACAUUAUCAAACUUGUAGCUACCAACGUAACAAAAUUUGCUUUGUGUCGAACUCCAAAGAGUGUGCGGGUAGGCCUGAUGUUGGCCUUCCUUCAUGAUCUGUUCUCUUUAGAUUGCUGGUGACAUUGCUUCCGCCUGGGUGACCUGAGGGGUUAGGAUCUUACAGUCCAGUAAAUCCAAGCUAAAAGAAAUAGUUGAUUUGAACAGUUAUUCCUCUUGUCUGAGUAUUUUGAGGUAAAAUAAUACUGAGCAACAGCUAAGAUUGUUAUAAGUAGGAAGAAAACAGAGGAAAAAGGCUUUCCCCCCUCCUCUGUGUGUUUUAAAGCCCUUUGUGUGUAAGUUUGUUUUUAUUCUGUUUCCUUGCCUGCCACUGCCUUCAUGGCUGUUCUGCUUGGCAGCAGGGGAAACAUGCUACAUCAGCAUAAAACCAUUUGUAGUUGGUAGGAAAAUUCAGGGAAUGGUGCAGUACUUGACAGUAGUUAAAAGUCUUUUCUUAAAAUAUGACUGGAUUUCAGGCUGAUAGUGUAUCUUCAAACAAGUUGUGGCCACUUAAUCACCUGCAGCACUGCUAGAAACCCUCACCUUCCAGUUUAUUUUUUGAGCAUAAUUAUUUUGAAGAGAUUCUCGUGAUAGAGCAAAACCAACAAGACUUUUGAUGUAGAUUCAGCAUACGCUGCCAAGAAGAGCUUUCUGAUGACAUAAUUAACACCCUCACCCCAAAUAGCAUAGACUACACCAAGAAAAGCACUGUGCUGUAGCAUAGCCACACUAUACUACGGGCUUGUUUUCAAAACAGUGUCAGUAAGGAAGCAGAUAUUCCACAGCCCAGAUAUGCCAGCAGAAGUUUGUAAUCUAGACACAGCCCAUGUUUUAAAUUUUUUCCAGUAUCUUUGCUUUCAUACUUGGAAAAUGCAUAGCCCUGGUGACAAGCAGUAGGAAGUAGUUCAACGAAAAGGGAAACUCUUGUUUAGGGCUUUCGGGAGUAAAGGGCAAGCUUGAACUAUCAAAUAAGCCGAGUAGAUUGGAAGUCCAGAUUCUUGUGUGACUGGGUACUAUUCCACUCAAUAAUCUAAAGGGGAUGUUACCCUCCUAAGAAAACAUGUUUGCCUAUUUUGUACUGUAAUGUAAAACCAAGACCAUCUGAAAGGACUAAUAACUAUUUGUAACAAAUUUAACUUAAGCGUCCUUUAGCAAAAGGAGUAAAUAAUUGUGUUUGAAACCAUCACCCAAGCUUGUAAUUUAAAUACUGUAGCAA